UAUUCUCAGUUUUGCAUGUCCCUC
rnacentral:piRNA from 1 species